GACGAACGCUGGCGGCGUGCCUAAUACAUGCAAGUCGAACGCUGAAGGAGGAGCUUGCUCUUCUGGAUGAGUUGCGAACGGGUGAGUAACGCGUAGGUAACCUGCCUGGUAGCGGGGGAUAACUAUUGGAAACGAUAGCUAAUACCGCAUAACAGUAGAUGUUGCAUGACAUUUACUUAAAAGGUGCAAUUGCAUCACUACCAGAUGGACCUGCGUUGUAUUAGCUAGUUGGUGGGGUAACGGCUCACCAAGGCGACGAUACAUAGCCGACCUGAGAGGGUGAUCGGCCACACUGGGACUGAGACACGGCCCAGACUCCUACGGGAGGCAGCAGUAGGGAAUCUUCGGCAAUGGACGGAAGUCUGACCGAGCAACGCCGCGUGAGUGAAGAAGGGUUUCGGAUCGUAAAGCUCUGUUGUAAGAGAAGAACGAGUGUGAGAGUGGAAAGUUCACACUGUGACGGUAUCUUACCAGAAAGGGACGGCUAACUACGUG
rnacentral:rRNA from 1 species